rnacentral:rRNA from 1 species
GUGGGGAAUAUUGGACAAUGGGCGAAAGCCUGAUCCAGCAAUGCCGCGUGAGUGAUGAAGGCCUUAGGGUUGUAAAGCUCUUUUACCCGGGAUGAUAAUGACAGUACCGGGAGAAUAAGCUCCGGCUAACUCCGUGCCAGCAGCCGCGGUAAUACGGAGGGAGCUAGCGUUGUUCGGAAUUACUGGGCGUAAAGCGCACGUAGGCGGCUUUGUAAGUUAGAGGUGAAAGCCUGGAGCUUAACUCCAGAACUGCCUUUAAGACUGCAUCGCUUGAAUCCAGGGGAGGUGAGUGGAAUUCCGAGUGUAGAGGUGAAAUUCGUAGAUAUUCGGAAGAACACCAGUGGCGAAGGCGGCUCACUGGACUGGUAUUGACGCUGAGGUGCGAAAGCGUGGGGAGCAAACAGGAUUAGAUACCCGUGUAGUCC